AGUGUUAGAUCUAUUUUUGUUAGCUUGGCACUGCUUAUGCUUAAUUUAGUGUCUUCAUACAAUUGCUAUAAUUUGGUUAUCAGCCAGAUUUAUAAUUGUUUUCUAUUUUUAUUGAUUUAUGUAAUCAAUCUCAAUUCUGCUUUUUGCAAAUUAAUACUAUUGUUUCUUGUUAAAAAUUGAAUAGUUUAGACAAUCAUUAGAAAGAAUGCCUAUUUGUGACACAUGGAAGAGCUAUGAUUGAGAUUGUUUGUUAGUAUGGUUCAACCUGCUACUAAAG
rnacentral:lncRNA from 1 species